rnacentral:rRNA from 1 species
CCUACGGGUGGCAGCAGUGAGGAAUAUUGGUCAAUGGUCGGGAGACUGAACCAGCCAAGCCGCGUGAGGGAGGAAGGUACAGAGUAUCGUAACCCUCUUUUGUCAGGGACAAACGACUGGGACGCGUCCCCGGAUGAGUGUACCUGAAGAAAAAGCAUCGGGUAACUCCGUGCCAGAAGCCGCGGUAAUACGGCGGAUGCGAGCGUUAUCCGGAUUUAUUGUGUUUAAAGGGUGCGCAGGCGGUCUGUUAAGUCAGCGGUCAACGCCCGGGGCUCAAACCCGGCCCGCCGUUGAACCUGGCAGUCGCGAGGUGGAGAGAAGUAUGCGGAAUGCGCGGUGUAGCGGUGAAAUGAAUAG